CGCAGAGGUAUGGCAUAUUUGACGCUCUUGAACAGUCAAUCUGAAGCAGCCAUUUCUGAUUGGCUUCCAUUGCGCAUGCACACGCUAUUUUGUCCUGAUUCUGUCAACUGAUAUCUUAAUGUUUAGCGAGUAGCUAGCUAAAACCACAGACAAACAAUUAGCAUUGUAAUAGUUUUUUUGCUAGGAUAUCAAGCUGACACUAUCGUAAGGAGAGCUGCUAAGCAACUAAAGGUAUCUAGCUAGCAUACCUGGCUAAUUACCUAGAUAGGUUAGCUGUCUAGCCACAAAUGGCACAAUGAGCUAGAUAUUUCACCGGAUGUAUAAAUGUGAAUCAUCUGGUUGUCGUUUCCACUCACUACCAAAUAUGGUGAUGAGAGGAAGCUAGGUUGCCAGCAGUGAGAGAAGAUGGAGGGAGAUUUUGACGGACAUUCUGCAAAUUUUCUCAUCGAUGAAACAUUUUAUCUCCAUACAGUUUUCUGUUUCCAAAACUAGAACCAGUAACAAACAGAGUGGACUGCGGUUUGUAGACUUCACCAUUUGGAUGGAGGACAGGGAGGAAAGCCAGGAGUUAUCAUGUUCCUCAGCAACACCAGAGAGAAUCUCCACCCCUCCAGAACCAUCCAUGUCCUCCAAACACAGGAAGUCACCUAAGGGACGGCAGGAGGGAAAGAGGUCUCAACGCCAUCACACACUUGCUGCUGCCCGACUGAUAGCAAGGCAGGUUUCCCGGCCAACAGGAACACUCCGAGCCAUCUGGGUCUUCGACGGCGGAGAUCUCCCCUAAUAAUUAUGGGUCUGAGAGAUGCAGAGAGCUGACUUUCUCCAUGGUGUCACGGCCGUCGUAAGGAUUGGACCAAAAUGCAGCGGGUUGGUACCUCACGAACAGGAGACAACGAUUCAGAGUUGCAGAGGGUCUGCGUUUCUGCUAGACUGGGUUAAGAUGACAUCUAUAACUGUAUUGACCGGAUCAUCUGUUUGGGAGGAGAUGGGACUCUACUCUGCGCCUUCUCUCUCUUUAAGGUAAUGCAGCCAUCACGCUGCGUAGUCGUCUGAAGGUAAAGAUGGUGAAGGACAUGCUCCAUAGGACAAGCCAGCCAGGCCAGCAUCAGUACCAGGUCCUAUGGAGGCUGGGGGCCAGGAGUAUGGGGGCCUGAGCCAACCUGGCGUCCACAUCGGGGGCCAGCAGGACACGGAGCACAACGGCAUGCUGCCCCACAGUUACACCAACAGCGAGGCCGGGAAAGUUACUCUGCAAAUGCAGAAGGCAUGAACAGCAGCCCGGCCCAGCGCCUCAUGGCACGGCGCUGAAAAGCAGCUCUGCCAGUAGCCAACACUCUCCUGGAGACCUGUGUGGUGACAGACGUGCUGGAGAAGCUUUGUCACAGAAGACAGGCAUCCAAGUUCAUCUAUGGACCACUGUACUGUCGUAACAGGGUUGACCUUCGGAUUGCUGAGCCAGCACUUACUCAGAACCCUAAUGACAAUAGGGGUUGCAUGACAAAGGAUGGACCCCAGCAAGUCAUGUGGGGCCUGAGGCACAGUACGAAGAGCUAGGGGAUCACAAGGCAGCCGCUCCCUCACCCAUCAACACUCCCCUCAGACAGUCAGGUGACACGCCUGCAAGUGAUCUCACAGAAAAGCCCCGUCUUUUCAUUCUGUUAUGUACUGUUGACAGACAGAAAAAAAUACAUGUAAAAGAAGGGGAAAAAUAAGUAUUUAUUUUAUACCUGAAAAAACUGUUCAUGAUGAAUAUUAUUACUAGGUUUGUUUUGUUAUUGAAUUGACAGCUCCUGUCCUACUUUAUAAAAGGGUGAUGUUAUGGGUGUAAGACGGCAUGUUGAUGCAGCAGUGUUUUUACCGGUGUGCUUGACAUACCUGGAUGUAUUGCAAUGUGCUGAACAAGACUGGUUACUCGCAUCAAUGACUCUGUCUAGUCAUUUACGUUCCAGACAGCAUUGAAAGUAUUGAAAAACCAUCCAGUGGCUUUUUUCAAAACCCCCGGUAUACGGUAUAUACUGUAUAACGCCUAAGCCUAUCGUGAACUCAUCAGGGUGUCCAGUGUGGCAGUCCCCUGCACCAACCUCUCCUAACUGUAUAUGUGUGUGUCUUUCAGAGGGGUUGGGAUAAAGCAGAAGUCCUUGGACCUUGUGUUCAACAAAUAAAGGGAUCUUAAUCUUAAUAGUAUCUCUUUGCCAUUCACCCAUGUCGUCUUCCUGUCAUUUCAUGACCUUACUACUUAUCUGUCAUGACCCUAAUCAACUUGUCUUUGCAGCCAUUCCUGGGAAGCCCCUUUCUACUGUACUAUUAUUAUGUUUUAGAAUUUACUUGUAAUUUACUCUGCAGCUUCUAAUUUAAACCAUAGUACCAUUGUGGUUUUCUUAUUCACUUCCAAUUAUUAGCUAUUAUGUACAGUUUUCCAAGAGACAUCUAUGCUACGCUGCUACACUACACUGUAUGUAACAGGUGACAUCAUUCACAUGAGGUAGUGAUGGAUGCCCCAUAUUGUUGAUGUCUUCCAUGCUGUUACACAGCUAUUAUGUACCGUUUUCCAAGAAACUCGUUCAACGUUUAUGCCACACUGCUACACUAUGUAACAAUGAGGUGGUGGCGUGUAUUCAUGGGUGCCAAGAGAAGCCAGACUUCCCCAAAAAAUGUAGCAAGAAAAAUAAAUGCAGAUAAUAAUUGA
rnacentral:lncRNA from 1 species